GCGGCCCUGAGGCUCCGUUACCUGCGGAGCCUGGGGGCCAUGCGGGGGCUCCCGGUGGACGCCCUGUGCACCCCCCUGGGGCUGCAGGUGGCCGCGCUGCUGCGCUGCUCCGAUAUCAUCGCCUACGCCUUCGAGGUGCCCCUCCCGGCCCCCCCGGAACGAGGGGAUUUGCCCCAAAAUGAGAGGAGGGAAAAUAGCGGCGGAAAGAACCCAGAACAAGGGAAUCUGCCCCAAAACGGGAGUGAAAACGGCAGCAGAGAGGCCCCGGAACAAGGGAAUCUGCCCCAAACUCUCUUCCUGGACUGAAAACGGCAGCAGAGCCUCGCCAGAAGAAAAGAAUCCUCCCCAAAAUAAGAGGAGUGAAAACGGCAGGAGACCUUUCUUGAAAUAUGAGAAACCUUCCCCAAAAUUUCGGGCUCCCCUCAUGGACUGAAAACAGCAGCAGAGCCUCUCCAGAAUGAGGGAAUCCUCCCCAAAAUUUCAAGCUCCCCAUAUCCCCUGGAAACAGCACAGAAUACGGAAAUUCUCCCCAAAACAAGAGGACUGAAAAUUGCAGCAGAGCCUUCCCCAAAACAAGAGAAUCCUCCCCAAAAUCUCCAGCUCUUCCUGGACUGGAUGCGGCUGCAGAUGCCGCCCCCCCCCGCACCCCCGGAGCGAGGGAAUUUGCCCCAAAAUGAGAGGAGCGAAAAUGGCGGCGGAGAUACCCCAGAAUGAGGGAAUCUGCCCCAAAACGGGAGUGAAAACGGCAGCAGAGAGACCCCAGAAUAGAGGAAUUCUCCCCAAAAUAAGAGGAGUGAAAACAGCAGCGGGGCUGCCCCAGAAUAAAGGAAUUCUCCCCAAAAUUUUGAGCUCCCCU
rnacentral:lncRNA from 1 species